CUAGAAACAUCGAUGGGGAGAUUCAAACAAACAAUACUAAGUAAAGUUUAUAUAUGUAUUUAUUUGG
rnacentral:tRNA from 1 species